GUCGACAUGAGUUUCCUAAAAAUUCUUAAAUUUGAAACAUGGAGAGAGAUUGAGCUAUGCAGUUUAUGUUCUCCAAGAAUUAGAGAAAGAUAAUGUUGAUAAUCCUGCACUCAAAAUAAACAUAUUGUAUGAUGUUGCAUGCAUGUUGGUGAAACACUUACAGAAUUUGGAGGAUCCGAUUGUUGACAUUUUUCAAUUUUCAAUUCCAAUUUUCACUGCUAUGGGCAUGUUGGACGAUGCCAAGUUAAAUUUAGUCCCCGUCGUAAAGAAGGAUUUGGCCUAACUGACGGUGAGAUGUUGGAGAGAUUGUGAGCUUACAUUCGCAAAUUUAGCAGAAUGACUAAAGAAAUGCGUCCAAGUCACAGAGUUGAUGUACUCAGUGAUGCUCUUUUACAUUAUGGAAAGAAAACGAAGAUUAAUUUAGGCAAUUUGCUGAUGGCAAGGAUGAAGCGAGCUGUUGACGUGGAAGAAACUGCAAAAUCAGAUAUUGAAAAGUUAUGCAGGUGCUUUCCGUCUCACAGCAUUUCAAUAGAUGAUAUUCGUGAGUGGAUGAAGGACGAAUCGACUUUUUUUGGUCGUGAAGUUGAGACUGAAGAAGAAGAUUGGAAAUGCAAGUACGUUAUAUACCUGGACUUGUACGCUGAUCUUUACCAUCGAUGGAAUGGUUGCACUGAUCCAAGUGAACUGACUGUUCCAUUUAAUCAGAUGAAAAAAUUGACGAGCAGUUGAAGAUCAUGGAAAGGGAAAACUCAAUUUCUGCACGCUGGCAGAAUACUGACUCAAAGUACGAAAAUGCAUAGGCUUGGUAAUGUUUUAUGUUUAUAUCAACUGUUAUCCAUUAAGAUUUGUUGGGGAUGUUUAGAAAGCAAAGGAUAGCGAGGGAUUGACUGUGUUUGAAGCUACAAAACAGCGGGCGGGAGAUAAGAGGAAGAGAGAGGAUAGGGGAGAUCCUGGUGUGAUUGAUGGAUACAAGAGACCAUGGAGUAAGUUUGUUGAUGAAGAAACUAUUGCUAAACCAUCUGAGGUAUUUCAAUUACCCAGAUAAAGAGUUUUAUAAAGACAUUUUUCAAAUCAAACAAUUAUUUU